UGUGAACAAAUCAGGACGCUUAGAGUAAUGGCCACAUGAAUGACUCAGCGCAGUAUGAAGUCUUUGUUUUCUUCAGAAAACAAGCUCAAUGAGAGCCAUCGGGGGUAGAUCUAUCUCAUGACGAGUGGUGGAAUACUUUGACUCAUGAGAGAGAAGCUGAGGCGAAGGCGUCUACCUAGAGGGUUUCUGUCGAUCAAGGGCGAGAGUAGGAGUAUCCAACAGGAUUAGAGACCCUGGUAGUUCCUACCUUAAACGAUGCCGACAGGAGUUUGUCAUUUGUUAAUGGCAGAAUCUUUGGAGAAAUCAUAGUUCUUGGGCUCUGGGGGAACUACGACCGCAAGGCUGAAACUUGAAGGAAUUGACGGAAGGGCACACCAGGGGUGGAGCCUGUGGCUUAAUUUGAAUCAACACGGGGAAACUUACCAGGACCAGAUGUUUUUUAUGACUGACAGGCUUCGGGUCUUUCAGGAUAUUGUUUUUGGUGGUGCAUGGCCGUUGGUGGUGCGUGGGUUGACCUGUCUAGCGUUGAUUCAGCUAACGAGCGAGAUUAUCGCCAAUUAUUUACUUUGCCGAAGUCCUUCGGUUAAAGUUCUAAUUGGGACUCCCUGCGAUUUUAGCAGGUGGAAGAGGGUAGCAAUAACAGGUCCGUGAUGCCCUUUAGAUGCUCUGGGCUGCACGCGUGCUACAAUGUUAGGAUCAAUAGGACUGCGAGCCUGAGAGGGUGCGCUACUCUUAUAAUCCCUAACGUAGUUGGGAUUGACGUUUGUAAUCAGCGUCAUGAACCAGGAAUCCCUUGUAAAUGUGUGUCAACAACGCACGUUGAAUACGUCCCUGCCCUUUGUACACACCGCCCGUCGCUCCUACCGAUUGGAUGACUCGGUGAAAUCACCGGAUGCUUACGAGCAGAAAGUGAUUAAAUCACGUUAUCUAGAGGAAGGAGAAGUCGUAACAAGGUAACGGUA
rnacentral:ncRNA from 2 species